rnacentral:misc_RNA from 1 species
UUUCUUUAAGGAUGACAACGCCUAGUUUGAUGGUUUGAGGAACAGAAAGAGCAAGAAUCUCGUUGAUGGAAAGAAAACUCUGCUACCGUUGAUAAAUAAGUGCUCCAAUGGACACUCAAAUCGACUGCUUGUUAUGCACAUUAUUUGCUACAUAUGCCCUGAUGUAAUUCGAAAGAAACUUUAGGUGAUAAUGCUAAUGAGGACCAUUGAUUAGCUGCCUUAAUUUUGAAGUAUCCAAACAAGGGGCAAACAAGAAUGCGUUAAAUUGCCUAAGAAAUCACCUUCUCGCAGACACAUAUCAUGAGGUUGCAUUAGGCCUCAUGAAGUUGGAUCAAAGGAAUUGGAUUUGAGGGCUCAAGAAAGGGCCAGAACACAUCAAACAAGUUAAGCUAGUAGGAAAAUUCAGGUGUAGCUGCCAUUAUUAGCUAAAUGGUAUUGGAGGAGUGCCUAAAAUAACCACCACCCACCCAUACGUUAUACAGACAAGCAUUGGCAUACUAUUGGUGCUUCUGAUAUCAUUUUGACAAACCCUACUCGCAGAUGCUGAAGUGCAUUUGUAUCACGUGCAACCCAACAAGCCAUAAUUGUUCUUGCCACAGUGAAUCUUCAAUAUUACAUUGAUAAUCCUUUUCUAGAGCUAAUAAAUUAAAUAAAUAUAAAUCAUUCUUCCUGAAGAAAAAUACAGAAGGUAAUUUUAUAUCUAGCAUACAAAGAAAAAGUUAAAAAUAGAAAACUACAAGAUGGUUUUCAACAGACAUUGCAAAACCAUUCAGUAUACCAUUGGCUGUAGUAAGGGUGCACUCGUAAAUUCCAUAGCUUCUACACUUACCAAGUUUCAGAGUAUUGGGUUGACCAAGAAAUUACUACGUAGAGCGGCGGCGUCUAAUGUAAAGGAAUAAUGCUGUCAAAGCAGCCACAGCAUAUGGAAAUAUGGUCCAAAUGCCCACUACUGUGGCUACAGUGGCCAUGGCAACCAAUGGACGUUCCCUCAGUAGAAAUCCAAUUCCUAGCUGAGCUUGACAAACAAGAAAACGGCCAGCAUUAGCAAUCCAACUGGCUGCAGUUAGAAGCCUAUUGGAAUCAUAACUGAAAUAGACAAAAGGGAAGCUAGACCAUGAGUAGAUAAAUCUUUUAAAACAAUAUAUUCCAACCAUUUGAUUAGCUAGGUUAGAAACUCAUCAAACCAUUGAAAUCUAGUCAUCUUAAGUGCAAUAAUUAAGUAUUAGAAAAUAGUUCAAAUCAAAUGAACGUAAUAAACUUAAGACAUCUUUAUGCAAAUAAAGAAAAUGAUUUUAGGAAUUAUCCCUAUAUAAGUACUAAUCUUUAUCAUUUAGGGUUUUCUUUUAAGCAUUGAUAUUCAGGAUUUCAUUUCAAGUUUUUCAUUUAAGAAUAACAGAUAUUUGAAGUACUUUAUAUGCCAAUUUGCAAGUAUAGCCUGAACUUCAAAAAGAGCAAAUUGUAGCCCAAUCUGUAAUUAUUACUUGCAAAUGUGGCCAAACAUGGUCACCUCUCAGUAGCCUUCUGGCCAUAGUUGCGACUCAUGACUAUGAAUCAAGUAACAAUUGGCUAUUUUUGUAGUUCAGGCAAUAAUUGUAAAUUGAUAUAUAGUUUUGGACCUUUUGGGACACUAUUAUCAGUAUUUUAGGAUUUCUUUUCGUUCUUAUUACCUUUCUGAUUCUUAUUCUCAGUAUUCUUUUCAUUCUUAUUUCUAUUCAUGAAUGUCAUAAUUAUGGUUUUUUAAAAAUGGCUGUUAUAUUAUGUAACAGCUGUUAUUUACAGAAAAAUGGCCCACCGUAAUCAUUAAGUCCUUUAAAUAAGGGAAGUCUAGAAAAUAGGGUGUCGCAGCUAUAACGACUAUUAAGUAACAGUAAUUGCCAUUACCAACCGUUACUUAACAGCCGUUAUUCUAGAGAAGCAACAUCUUUUGGCUCUUUCUUACAUUGUUAUACAUGGGGCAACAGCUAGAACGGGACAUUACCACAUUGGAACCAGAGGUUAUUCAUGAUUCAUAGACGAUAAAAGAGAGUUCAGACAUUGGCUCUCCCAUUAUCAAUUUGGCAUUGAGAUGAUGCUUAUCAAGCAAGCUACUAUUUUUUGUCUUCUUUAUCUAAGAUAACACAUCGCAUAUGAUACAUCUUGUAUGUGCAUGCUGACUGUGUUUGGUGCUUCAAAUAGAGUAAUCUAUUUGAAAUUUGAAGGUUCCUUGGGAAAAAAUAAGGCAAUUAAAGACCAUAUAAUAUAUAGAAGCAUGAUAUGAUUUUAUACACAUAGAAACAACAUGUUUUCUUAUGAAACUAGACAGACCUGUAGUGGAAGGGUGAUCAAGCCACCACAGCAAACUCCAGCAAAGAAAAACUCCGGAGAUAUACCCUGCAUUUAGAUAACAGAUCAUGGUGACCAAUAAAACAUGUUUGAAAUGUGAAUAUGAUGAAUAAACCUCAUUUCAUAGCAAGAAUGUCCAUUUGAGACAGGAUAAAUGUUGCAGGUGAAUCAUCAUGAUCAUCAGACAAUAUUUUUAUUAUAUAUUUUGUAAAACAUAUCUUUCAAUGGUUCAGUGCCUUUGAGAGGAUUUAUUUAUAAACAAAAACUCAAUUAAAUAUUAAGCACAUCAUUAGGUAGGAUUACAUAGAUCUUAUGACCAAUGGAAUAAUAGCAGCAUACCAUGUUCUUGAGAAACAUGAACAGCAUGUGAACGCAGCACCUCCAACAGUGGUAAUUCACUCAUUAUAGCAUCCAAAGAGUAUCUAGAGUAGCUUCUAGUGUAUUAAGAAUUAAUUGCUUCCCUUUUCCCUUCAUUUGGCAUGCAUCUUGCUAGGAAAGAAUUAAAAUAGGUGUGCUCAAUGCAAGAAAACAUAAUAUGAACCGAAAACAUAAUAGUGGCUUUAAAUUUGGCUGUCAUCAUGCCUGCUCAUAGAUCCACUAAGCAGUGCUCUAAUGAAGCAAACGCCAAAAUCACAAGCUCAGCCAUAUUAAAAGAACAGAGAACCAUAGAUGAAAAAAAUUAAGAGCAUGGGAUAAAUCAAGAAAAUCUAUAAACUGAGUCAAAACCAGCAGUCACUCAAGCAUAAGGAAUAUUAUUAAUUUAAUAGUGGUAAGAGAAUGAAAACCAAUUUCCCAAGCGCAGUCUUUAUACAAAUGAUGACCACUAACCAGCGUCCCUGCUAGGAAAGCUGUAGGAUUUCUUACUCCAAGUGAAAACCGCUCCACUGCAAGCCACAAUACAAUGAAGGAUAAGGAAAAUAAAUAUGAAGUACAGAUUGUACAAUCAUGCAUACACAAUAAUAUUGAUAAAACAUUCAAAUCAGUUUCCAAUCAUCAAAAGCAUUCCACCAAUUCAUGUCUCAUUAGUGAAUAGCCAAAGGGAAAAAGAAAAGUAGUACCACCCUGUUAAGUUCUUAAAUAGAAAGCAUCUCAGAUGGUACAGGAUGAUCUAAAUCAAAAUGGGGAAGAAAAACACAAAGAAAGCCUAAAAAAUUCUCUAGAUUUAAGAAUACAAGUUGUAUUGAAAGAAAGAAACAAGAAAUAGGUAGGAAAUAUCGUCUUGAGACUACUAAGAUCAAGCACCUGAUACAAGGACAAGCACCUUAGGCUGGAGCAAAGAUAGUCAGAAGACAGCAGAUAGGGCAUUGUAAAAUAGUGGCUUUCAUAGAAGAAAUACAUGUGGUAGAACCCAAGACAAUUGCAAGUAUUUCAACAAUUCAAUGUCAUCUUGAAAAGACAUGAACUUAGUGAAAAUUUACAGCAUUACUAUGGCUUUCCCCAUAAGAAACCGAGUUGUCUAUCAUACAUUAUAAACAGUUAACUUCCAUUAAAAAGAAAAAACAGGGGGAGAAGAGAGGAGAAAGAGGGGGGUUGCAUCCCUAGUGGACUCUCUGCUUUGUGAGGCUAUACAGAGUCUUCCCCUCAUUGUUUGCAGUAAGCUCUUUCCACAACUUGAACCUAUGGCCUUCUGAUCAAAAAGAAGCAACCUCACCAUUGCACCAACACUCACCCUCCAACCAACUUCUACAAUGCCUGCAAGAUUUCCAUAUUGUUGCACAGUAUGUGUAAUGCUCGAUACCUUCUCUUCACCAAUCCCUAGCUAUAGCCAUCAUCAAUGUUAUCAUAACAAAUAUUUUGAAAACAACAGAAGACAGGCUAGUUGCAAAAUGAAUUUUUUAAGCUUAAUAUUAACUAGGUAACAUCUGUUCAUUAACCAAGAAAAGCAUCUAGAUGUGAUUGAACAGAGAAAACCUUUGAACAAAUAUCAUCAGUUGCCCCGCUUUCCCUGAAAAGCUUCCCAAGGUAGAAUGGUAUCAUAUCACUGAUACAGACUCCCCUGAUGAGUCAUAUUGCAACAUAUUCAUAACUCACAAGGAAAUUAUUACCAUAACUAGUCAAAAUUCAGAGCAGCAGCGUCAAAAAAAUUAAAAACAACUAACAUAUUAGCAAAAAUCAUAAAUCUGGUUUGUUUAUAUUGAACAGCUACUUCGUUCAAUCUAAAAUUAUUAUAAUUCUCCAUUUGUUGAAUUGAUGACUAAUAAUCACUGUGGGAUUUAUCCUUGUUUUAGCUAAGGCUCAACCCUAAAGGUACUCUAAUUGAACCUUGCCUCGAGUGAACUUCAAGGUGCAACAAAGCCUUCUAAAACUUCAUUUGGGUGUAGAAUUAUUGCCACAGAAAAAUCCAUUUAUUGAUCCUACAGCAAUAGCACGUGAUGUACAAAAUAAAAAAGUGAAGUUGACACUAACCAGUACACCCAGAAUACUGUAGACAUUAUGUAUGGAGCAUUUCUGGAGAACGACUCAACAAAAGAUUGCCAUGUUCCAUCCACUGACAGCAUCCGCGAUAAGGUUAUGCCAACCGGUAGAAAGGACAGACCCAAAUAUUUAAAGCCUCCUCACUGAUGAAUAGUCCACAACCAGCAGCCAUGAGCAACCAAAAAUAUAUCCACCCUGGUGCAUAUUCAGGAAGUAUGAUUCUGUAUCCAAAAGCUUUGAAAGUGAAACCCACAGGGGGCGAAGCAAGGGCAGAAGAUGUUGAACUUUCAGCCAGAGAUUGAACACCAAAGAAUGACCCAACACUAGGCCAUUUGAGACCAAUUGAUGUGAUUGUAAUUAUAGCAGCUACGCCCACAGCAAUUGCUAAUAUUAAUAGAAACGAAUUUCCCUCAGCACUAAGAUUAUUUUUCUGAUUUCCGAUUUUCUCAUUGGCACCCUUAUUUUGUCCAUCCAAACUUUCUUCUGUAACUUCAAAAUUGUCAGCAUCUUCUCCCUGAAAGCUCCUGACCCUGAGAAGUGAUGGUCUAAAGAAGCGAGAAAGCAAAACGUUAGUGGAAUGCGGUGGUAAAAGCGUGCAAGGAACAUUGAGAGAGCUUGUGUGCUUGAAUGGCCGUCUGUAGAAGGAAUUAGUUGAUGGUUUGGGGAGAUUUCUUAAGGAAGCGCCAUCGCCAUGUGUUAACACCAACACUGGAGCCAUUUUUAUAGAGCUUUCCUCUGCGUAUGCGAGGUUUCUGGCAGGGGCAGCGAAGUGCACUCAGCCUCUGCUUCUCUGGCACCUGGACGAGCUUAAGUGGGGCUUCUUUGUUUUGGACGUAAGGAGGAUAUUGGGUCCAUG